AAUUAAAUGGGCAUUAAUAUCAUCGACCCGCUCUUCGCAACGGUCAAAUAAUUUUCGCGCCACAGUCGUCUAUAAUUUCCCGCCUAACACUAAGCAUCUCAGUCGGAAGUUGAAUCGCCACUCUCUCGCCAGCCGCGGAUUUCCAGCGGAUGAUUGCCGCUGUCCAACAGGCCUCCGGCUUGGUCCGAUGCCAUAUAUUUUAUUCCUCACUCUCCCUCUCUUCUUCUUCAGCCUUGUUCUCACGAUCUCAUCAGAGUUGAACCAGAGCCGCGGCCUCUGCCUUUUUGAGUGGUUUUUGGGACCUUGUAAACCCUAGAUCACUACCAGGCACUGGGAUAAAAAGAGAGCGUAGCGCAUAAUCGAAAGAAGGCUUCUGGUCUCGUUGAUGAAAAAGUAGAGGUUAGGAGUUUAAAAGACACGGCUUUAUUGGCUCUUGGCAUGGAGGCAUUGUUAUUGUGUGUAACGACAGAGUUCGUCACGUGUCAUGUAAUGAUGCAUGGUCGGGAGCUGUUAUUUUUGGUUCUCAACGAGGAGGAUUCUCUUCCCGAAAUUGGGCGAUGAAUUGGAUGUUGGAAUUGAAACAUUGCGUAUUACCCAUUCGGGUUGCAUGAACGAUGUUAUGGAAGGAGUUGGCGAUGGAGGUCAAAUUUGGCGAGGUCAAAAUCAGAUCACUUUAAGUGCCGUAGCAGGUACCCGCUUGAACAGCCCCGGUCAGUUUGACCCUAUACUCGGUCAAAAUGGAGAUUUCCCGACCAAUGGGAACCUAACUCCAUAGAUUUUUUUUUUUUUUGCCAUCCCCAUCUAAAGGAGAGAGUUGGAGGAUCAUAUUAGGGUUU